AUAAUGGACAAUGGUCGAGGACAUAAAUGAACACAUGGGUAGUAAGCCUACUAUAGAUUUUCGUCGUUUUUUUCUAGGGCUUCUAAAGUGUGUCCUAGAAUACAAAUAACUAGAUUUUAACCCGCGGUAUACUGCGGAGACAAUUUAUUUUUUAAAGUUAGUAUAUAUAAAAAUUUGUAAAUUGUAUCUAUCUAUAAAAUAUUUUUAUUUUAUAGUUUACAACUGUUAUUAAAUAACGUCCUGCCAAACCCGUCCCGCAAAACCCGUCCUGCAAAAAAUCCAUUUAUUUUAUUAAUAUUGAUCUUAUUUAUGAAUUAUUGUCUAAAUAUUUUAGUCGAUGCGGGAUGUUGAACCCACACAUUUUUCGCCAAUUGGUCAAUAUAUGUUCAUUUUUAAAAUUUUGAAUCACAAAAUAUGACGGAAAUGUUUUUGAGAUUUUUUUAAACUAUAUAUUAUAUAAUGAUGUUAAAU
rnacentral:sRNA from 1 species